AGAGAGAUAGGGUUUCCUGUCUGGGCCCAGCCGAGCUCAUCAGCUGAGAGACCAAAAAUAAACAUCAAUCCCAGCAUGCCUCACAAGUUACCAUGGGAUCAAACGAUAUGCAGCGAGGGUGGACACCGAGCAUUUGUUUUAAUCACAUGGUGGAGAAGGAAAGGAAGAAGGGGAAGGAGGGCUGACGGCGGUUAGACACGACAAGAAAAGAGAGCAGAGUGAGGGGUGAUUACAGAGCAGCUUCAACGACACGAUGAGAAAAGAUAAACAACAAGCUCAUCGGAGUUGGCUGAGAGACUUGCAGUUGCUGCCUGGGAGAGUAACGAGUUAUCCAAGACAUGCUAAGAAACCCUUCAGUCCUCGUGGGAGUGUGUGCAAUCUGCCCGGCUACAGGAGGAAGUGCUCUGACAAACUGAGCCAAUCAGAGGCAGGGAUUCCGGUCAGCUGGCUGAGAAGUCGAUCGGACUUUGGCUUGUUGGAGCCAGUGGGUACUUCCUGUUUGAAAUGGAAGGGGGAGGUGUCUGAAAGUCCAGUUCUCAUCUACAGUUGAUGGCGUAGGAACAGGGAUGUGGCUUUUCUAAUCUGACCAUCACGGAAAAUCCACUAAUUUCUCCUUGUGGCGCUGAUGACUUCCGCCAUCUCACUGCUUCCUCACAAAUCAUGGAGGGGAUAAGAUCCUGAACCCCGUCUUUGUUCCAGUCAGAAACAAUUUGUUAUGUUUCACCAACUUAAAGGAACAUUUCUAAGUGAGCCUGAAACAAUUAGAUCUGGGGUUUUGAAGAAAGAAAAGGUCUUCAACUCUGCGAGUCAUAAAUGGGUUAAACCAUUUCCUCUGAGAGGGGGAUUCCCAGCUCCGCUUGCUGAGUGUGGUCUUUACCCUCCGGUCAAAAGUGGGGGAAAAAAGUGACUGCCUUUUUCAUUAGCUGUUAUUUGAAUUUUCCAACACCUCACACUGUUAAAUAAAAAUAAAAAAGUGGUUUAAUUAUUUUCUGCCAGUACCAAGUAUAUAUUUAUUUCACUUUUUUUUACAAUAACAGUUAUUUAGCCAUGCUAAAAUCUACUUUCUACUGGGAAAAUAGAUUAAAAUCAGAGUAAUAAAAGAAUUUAGUAAAAGAAAAUGAAGGUGACAUAAUUAACUGACUUUGAUUUACAGUAGAUUUGACAUCCGAGUUGUUUGGGGGCCAUAACUGUCUAAGGAGAAUGCAUCUCAAUCCUACAGCCCUUUUCUUCUGAGUAUGUCUACUGUAGUCAUUUCAGAGUGUCUCUGUCUUUUCCACACCCCCCUCUUCAAAUCUCUUCAUCCUAUUUUUUCUAUCCUGACAGCUGUUGCCGAUGCACACAGCUGCAAUGCCUCAGCCGGUCACACUUGGUUGCUAUUUGCUGGCUAGGGAAGCUCAGACUGUUGAGGAUCAACUGCACAUGUGCGGGCAAAACACAAAUGAGGAGGGGGAAAAAAUGGUUUGUGGGUCAAGGGGAGAAAAAUGUCAAUUUUCCUUUAAAACUGCUUCAGAAUUUUGAGCAGCUCAACCCAAAAUGUUUGCGUUCCAGCACGUCUAAGGAUUUCUAGGAUAAAAUAUAACAAUUUUUUGAGUACAAGUCGCAUUUUUUAUAUAGUUUGGCCGGGGUGCGACUUAUACAAAGGUCGUCCUCCACAGGCUUGGUGUGAAAUUUCAAAGUGGUUCAAAUCUUGCGAAUCUUUUCCAGUUUUUUUUUCUUUUACAGCUCUAAAAUAGUGAAAAACUGUGUCAUACAAUUCCGACCAGGCAAAAACCGCAAAUAUCAACCUCUCUUUUUUUUUUGUUUUUCAAAUGAUUGGCCUUUCCCAUUGACUGUACAACCCCUUCCCCCUCGUGUUCCAAAGGAAGUAUCUGUGGGCUUCAAGAAGCCAAAAUCCCAUAGACUUCCACUGAGAAAUAAAGUUAUCACUCAGUCAGUCAUUCUAUUUGUCAGAAUAACCAUUUUGUCUCUGAUACAUUUUUUUAAUAUCUUGCUGAUACUAAUUUAUUGUGGUGCCUGGUGGCCACACUUCAAAUGUUUGAUUGACAGCUUCUCCCGAGCCACUUAGGGGUAUGGACUUCAAAAAAGCUCACUCAUUAUUUGCAACUGUUGCAACUCAGACCGACUCGGGCCAAUCACUGUCGUUGGGCGCCAACUCUCGGCGCCCGUAAUGUGGAAAAAUCAUUAACGAAUUUGGUCUUAUUUCGCGAGAGUUUGAGGUAAGGCAUUUUCGUCUUCGUCCAGCAGUAAUAAUUUAUGUUUAUGGCAUUUCCGUGAAUUCAAACGGAUCCCAACAUCACUACCAAAUCCGAGUCCGUCAUUGGUCAAAGUUCAACUGCUUUAGAUUUCAGCGCGUUUUGUACAUAAAAGCCGAAAACGGUUGUAGCUACUCUUGAACAACUAAAACGCACAAAUACACUCAUUUACGUGAACUUUUCAUUGAAGGUGGUUGCUUGAGUGCACGUUGCCAAGGGUGAUAUGAUCCUAACCUCACAGUCAACACACCUUUGAUCAAUUUUGGAAUCUGAUAAACUUUGACAUGUUCUGUAGAAUUGGUUUCCUGUAAUGUGUGUAAAAAAAAAAAAAAAAACAAGUCCUGUCAGCGCUAAUAUGUCCAUCACAAGCAGAAGCAGACUUUUUAGUUUUUGUGCUGCUUCCAGCCUGAUGAAGACUCCUCCAAUCCUGAGUGUGCAGCAGCAGCAAUGGAUACCACACUAUGAGCGACAACAUACUGUAGAAUAACCAACCUAAAGCGUGUGGAAAGAUUAAAACUACAUCCAAACUCACAGUGGGACUCUAAGGGAAGCUGAAUAAUAAAAGCGUUUGCAUCACAAAGUAGCUGCAAGCAAAUCAGCCUCAAUCACAGCCCUUCAAAGCCAACACUGCACAGCUGUCCCCAACAGAGUUUGAAGCGUGAAAGCUGCAAUCCAAGUCUCCAACACUGAUGCCUUCAAACCGAAAAGAAGUCAACAGAAGCUGAUGCAGCCGCCCUGACCCGGUCUUCAUCUCCCAUGUUCUUAUCUCUGCCAGGCAACAACAGGAUGAUGUCGCUAUUCAUCCCUCACAGGGGGAGGGAGGAGGGGAGGAAGGUGUGAAGGAGGCUGCAAGAGGAGCAGGGAGCCUCCAUGACACGGACGUGUUCGAUUAUCUGCGAGUUGAGUGGAUUUAACGGGCAUUGGAGAGCUGAAGGCCCCUCUGGGCGAUGGCAAAUGCGCAAUGAAACACCGCCCACCCAAUGGCGCACAAGUCGGUCAGCGUGGCUACAGCCUUGUCAUGUUGGCCUGAUCAGUGAAAUGAAGGUCUGGUUGGGUGUGGAUGAGGAGGACGGACACGUGACAACAUCACAAUUGUACUGCAACUGUGAUAAAAGGGUAAAAAAUUAAAAAUAUGGAUGGAGGAAGGAUGGAUGGAUGGCAUAGCUGAUAGGCCAAAAUGCUAUCAGGGAUAAUCCAGGCCAGACCGCACCGGUCCCAGAUGAAGGAGGGGAGGGGUUGACGUUAUAAUAAACAUAUUCUUCAAUCCCAGAGGAGAGGAGGGGAAGGAAAACAUGCUUAAAUGCAGUGUUUGGGCUUCAGUUUCCGUCAGUUUUAUUUUGGGCUUUAAAAAAAAUACCAACCUUGUAGACUUGCCCAUAGGUGCCAUUUCCAACCACUUCCACCAACUCGAAAAUCCCAGCUGGAUCCUGGAUUUUAAAGAUAAAGCAAACACGUGAGAGGGCAGAAAAAAAAACCAUCUUGAUUAAUUGACUCGUUACAGUAAUUGCAAAGGGUUCGUUUGGUGUAACUACCGGCAGCGCCCAGUUAAUAUUAGACAAAGAAAAGCUACCGCAGGGCUAUGUUAACAUUAGCAUUGCUCACAAUUGUUAUAUUAUAAUUUUCUUACACAUAAACUUCUAAAAAUAGGAUUAAAAUGAAAAACAGCUCACCCGCAGGGAUGCCAGGUCUAUAUCCACCAGACUUUUCGCCGGAGAAUCGUUCGCCAUCUUCGCAAAAAAAAAAAAAAA